AGGGAAACGCCCGGUCACAUUCCGAACCCGGAAGCUAAGCCUCUCAGCGCCGAUGGUACUGCAAGGGGGACCUUGUGGGAGAGUAGGACGCCGCCGGAC
rnacentral:rRNA from 2 species